UACAGAGGGUGCGAGCGUUAAUCGGAAUUACUGGGCGUAAAGCGUGCGUAGACGGUUAUUUAAGUCGGGUGUGAAAGCCCCGGGCUCAACCUGGGGAAUUGCAUUCGAGACUGAAUAGCUAGGGUACGGUAGAGGGAAGUGGAAUUUCCGGUGUAGCGGUGAAAUGCGUAGAUAUCGGAAGGAACAUCAGUGGCGAAAAGCGACUUCC
rnacentral:rRNA from 1 species